GUCUUCUUUGACUAAAGAACCCAUUUCCCACAAUACAGAACUAGCUGUUCACUGACCCUCAUAUUGGAAGAUGGUGACAUGCCAUGGAGCCUCACUAGUGAUCCUGUAUCUUCACCUGGACUGGGUGAGCUGCCUAGAGAAGGUGGAGCAGAGCCCUCAGUCCCUGAAGAUCCAGGAGGGAGGGAGCGCCACAAUCAACUGCAGCUGGACAGACAUUACCAACAAUGAGCUGCAGUGGUUCAGGCAGGAUCCUGGGAAAGGCCUCAUCCUCCUAUUGUACAUAACUUCGGAGGAGAAGCAGAAUGGAAGGUUAAGAUCCACGAUCAGCAGGAAGGAGCGUCAUAGUACCCUGCACAUCACUGGUGCCCAGGCUGAAGACUCAGCCACCUACCUCUGUGCUGUGGGGCACAGUGAUCCCCAGGCACCUGCAGGCUGUGCGCAAACCCCAGAGCUGAGACACAGACCCUUCCAGAGAGCACAUUGUGACAACCUAAAAGCAUAUCCAUUGCUUAUUUUCUCAGUGCCGAGAAGCAUUCUCAUUUUAGCUCCCUUUUAUAAUUCUUGGAUCAAACAUUUAUCUACUGCUUCCUGCCCUGGCCUCUGCAGCUAUUGGUAAUACAACAUUAUAGAACAUAACCAGGUCAAGCACUGAUGUACCUAGUGACCUGUUAGAAAUCACACCUCUUA